rnacentral:lncRNA from 1 species
UUACGUUACUUAAAAUGUAUAUGAAUUCAGUUUGACGAAAAUGAACAAAAUGUUGUUAAAAUAUUUUUGUAAGUUUUUAAUUUUGGCUUAAUUAAUGAUGAACAGUGUAGAAAUAGCCCUAGGACAAACUUCACUCCUUUGCAAUCCAUCAGCGGUAGUGGUUGUCCAUCAAACACUGGUUUUUAAAAGGAAAUGCCCCAAGACGUACAUCGCGAUAUCGAAACUGAUGUAGAAAAGCCUACAAGUACAUAUACAGAGUACUGAACAAUAAUCAGUAAAGACUAUGACCGGCAGGCGCUCGUCUGGGACAGAAGGUUUAAAAAGAUGAGCAAGCUCAUCUAACAUAGUCCUGUCGUAUCACCGAGCAUCAUGCUAGCAGAGAAAACCAAAUUCAAGUGAUAACAUAUUCACGUCAAAACACGUGCGAGGGUCCAAGGUAAACCGAAGGAGGAAAAGAUCUCCAGAAGUAGAAAUGCUAUACUCUGAGAAUCUCUAGGUGUUCGAUGGAAAAGCACGUAGAAACGACAGUAAACUUCUUCCAACAGUUCGAAUGGGCAUAUCGGAGAACCAAAUAGCAUCUACUAUAACCUUGUUCAUAACUUGACAAAAUAUACUUAAAUAAACUUCCAACUCCGCUUGCAUAUACAUGCAUAUAUCUCCAGAAUAAAACGUCAGAUUUACUGUAACAGUCUGUUUUUCGAAUAAAUGUUUGGUUUAUCAUGCUGUGUCCAUGUUUCAUUUAUGAUUUAUUGCAUAAUAAAAUACUUCUGGUAUAUCACGAUUUUAGCAAUAUCCAGAAGGAGUAAUGGUCACACCAUAUAUUCAUGUCCCUGAGAUAUAUUUUUUAUUCCCUGUUCGUCCGUCAGUUCCGUCUGUCAAACUUUGCUUCCGCCAUCCAUAUGACCCAGAGUAUUCAAACUUCAUAGGAUGAUUGGAUUGAUUGAGUAUGGUCUCUAUAUGCAUGUGCUUGGCACUACACUUCCACUCAAUAGCUUUGAUCAUUCUGUCAAGUUUCAAUUAAAUGUCUUUAAUAACUUUCGAGUUAUAUUCCAGACAAGCAUUAGUUAGAAUGAUAAAGGGAGAUAAUUAAAAACUAAAAAAAAUGAGUUAUGGUUCUUUGACACUGCACUUCCUCUCAUAUGUGAAGUUUCAAUCAAAUGCCUUUAUAAGUUUUCAAAUUAGGCUCCGGACAAGCAUUAUUUUAUAUAAUAAAGGGAGAUAAUUUAAAACUAGGUAAAGCAGAGUUAUGGUUCUUUGACAAUGUAGUUCCUCUCAAUUGCCUUUAUCAUUAUGUGAAGUUUAAAUCUAAUGCCUUUAAUACUUUUCAAAUUAUGCUCAGGACAAACAUUAUUUUGUAUAAUAAAGGGAGAUAAUUCAAAAACUAAGUAAUGUAGAGUUAUGGUCCUUUGACGCUGCACUUUCCCUCAAUUACCUCUAUCAUUAUGUGAAGUUUCAAUCAAAUGCCUUUAAUCCUUUACAAGUUAUGCUCCGGAAGCAUUAUUUUGUAUAGGAAGGGGAGAUAAUUCGAAACUAGGUAAGGGUUCUUUGACACUGCACUUCCUCUCAAUGGAAGUUUCAAAUCA